rnacentral:rRNA from 1 species
GACGAACGCUGGCGGCGUGCCUAAUACAUGCAAGUAGAACGCUGAAGCUUGGUGCUUGCACCGAGCGGAUGAGUUGCGAACGGGUGAGUAACGCGUAGGUAACCUGCCUGGUAGCGGGGGAUAACUAUUGGAAACGAUAGCUAGUACCGCAUAAGAGUAGAUGUUGCAUGACAUUUGCUUAAAAGGUGCAAUUGCAUCACUACCAGAUGGACCUGCGUUGUAUUAGCUAGUUGGUGAGGUAACGGCUCACCAAGGCAACGAUACAUAGCCGACCUGAGAGGGUGAUCGGCCACACUGGGACUGAGACACGGCCCAGACUCCUACGGGAGGCAGCAGUAGGGAAUCUUCGGCAAUGGACGGAAGUCUGACCGAGCAACGCCGCGUGAGUGAAGAAGGUUUUCGGAUCGUAAAGCUCUGUUGUAAGAGAAGAACGAGUGUGAGAGUGGAAAGUUCACACUGUGACGGUAUCUUACCAGAAAGAGACGGCUAACUACGUG